rnacentral:rRNA from 1 species
AUUGAACGCUGGCGGCAUGCCUUACACAUGCAAGUCGAACGGCAGCACGGGUGCUUGCACCUGGUGGCGAGUGGCGAACGGGUGAGUAAUACAUCGGAACAUGUCCUGUAGUGGGGGAUAGCCCGGCGAAAGCCGGAUUAAUACCGCAUACGAUCUACGGAUGAAAGCGGGGGACCUUCGGGCCUCGCGCUAUAGGGUUGGCCGAUGGCUGAUUAGCUAGUUGGUGGGGUAAAGGCCUACCAAGGCGACGAUCAGUAGCUGGACUGAGAGGACGACCAGCCACACUGGGACUGAGACACGGCCCAGACUCCUACGGGAGGCAGCAGUGGGGAAUUUUGGACAAUGGGCGAAAGCCUGAUCCAGCAAUGCCGCGUGUGUGAAGAAGGCCUUCGGGUUGUAAAGCACUUUUGUCCGGAAAGAAAUCCUUGGCUCUAAUACAGUCGGGGGAUGACGGUACCGGAAGAAUAAGCACCGGCUAACUACGUG